rnacentral:lncRNA from 1 species
CCGGCAACAAAACAAUAAAGAUUAACCAACGAAACGUACAGCUUUGUAGGGCUAAAAGCUUAUUUCCACCCCGUGUGGACUGGCUCUGGUUCACACCUCAGCACACACCUCGGCACCGCCGACCACCCCGUGUGCCCCCCCAUUUUUUUUUGAGGCUGCUUCUCGGGCUUCCUACGUUGUGGCCGCGAGCCCCGAUGUCAUCGCCUUUCCUCCUUCGCUGCUUCCGCCUGCUUCCAUGGCAGGCUUUUGUCUCCUGACAUUAUUUCGGCCCAAGCCCAGGAUGUCCUCCACUCCUGGCUUUCCUCCCAGGCCCAGGAUCCUUGCUCCUCCUGAGCACGCUGCUUGGUCCUGGGGUGGUGGAAUCUUCUGUAACGAACGUCGUUGUAAUGAUGGUUGGACCAAGAUGCAGCGUGGGGUAGGUUAAUCAUUUUUAUUUAUAAUAACUGGCAACAAAACAAUAAAGAGUAACCAACGAAACGUACAGCUUUGUAGGGCUAAAAGCUACAAUACAAAAUCAAGAUCCCACAAACAAAAGGUGGGAAAAGGCUGCCUAAAUAUGAUCCCCAAUCAGAGACAACGAUAGACAGCUGCCUCUGAUUGGGAGCCAUACCAGGCCAACAUAGAAAUACAAAAAACUAGAGUACCCACCCUAGUCACACCCUGACCUAACCAAAAUAGAGAAUAAAAAGGCUCUCUAAGGUCAGGGCGUGACAGAUGAAUUCCACAUGUCGAUUUUACAUGGUAUAUAUUGUAUAUCCUACGCUGUAUCAUUUGUGGAAUUAAUCCAUUUAGCUGGUAGAAAACGUGCAAAAAGUAAACACCAAUCCAGGUUCAGAAUUUAAUGUUUGCUGUUUCUGCUCCUCUAAACAAUAAGUAGUGUGACUCAGUCAUGCAAGUUACCCGCUUAGCUAAUUCCGGAUGUCCAUUAAACCUUGUUUUUCUGUUUUUGUGGUGUGGUUAGACCUACUAAUCUCUCUGGAAACCUCAAUGUGGCAUGUGCAUCCCCUGCUACUCCUGAAAACCUGACCCUAAGCAACACAGUGACUAGGGUCUGGUUGCAAUGAGAAACUUUGUCACUUCCUAUGUCGAUAAGCGAAAAAAACUUUGCCGGGGACUCCCAACAGAUUACGAGGCAGACAUGCCUGAACGUCGCGAUUCAAAACCAAAGUUUGCAAAAAAAAAUAUUUGCAGUGGUUUUAGUUAAGGUAGUUAACACAAACUAGCCACUUGUGAAAUGCACUCAUGCACCAUCUUGCUAGCUACUGUUUUGUAUUUUAUUAAAGCGGAUAAAGUAGUGACGUAGGCAAAAAGAGUCCAUCAUUGAAACCAGACCCUAGUCGCUGUAUUGUUGUGGGGAGAGGUGCUCUGUUCUGGCAGCCAGUCAACUAGCAUAACAGUAACCUUGGAGAGAAAUUGUUUUGGGUGGUGGGGGAGGGAGGCAAUUGCCUGGAUAACAGCUUGCGAGCCCCUGCCUGCGCAGCCCUGAUGCACCUGUUGUUUGUCCAACAGCAGCAAUAAUACAGCCGUUACAGAGGCAAUGUACUGGUACAUCAUUUAUCAGCCUUCUCUCUGUCUGUCUGUCUGCCGCUCUCUCACACACAUAUGCACCACGUUCCAGUCACAGCCUCGGCCCGCACAUGAGAUGAGCAUUGAGGAGGCAUCCAUGGCCCUUCCACCAGCACAGGUCAUUGAACUGGAGGAGGAACCAAUGUAUGCCAGUCUGUGGUUCAUUUGGCUUCGAAGGGCCCCUGCUGAUGACUUCCCUCGAGAUGCACUGCAUUCUUUAUGGAUGAAUACCAGCAGGGCCUAUUAAAAGCUCCCUGUGCAAGUCUGCUACACAUCAGGAUCUGCGGCUGUAAUUACACCAGCCAAUUAAGGCAUGGGGACGAGUGGAGGAGCACAACAGAGGAGAUUUAUCCACCACCCGCCCCGUCUGCCCCCUCUCUGUCAGCACGGGGCUACUGGGUUGCCAGGUUCCACCGUGCAAUAGGCAGGCAUGUUCUUUACUGUACUCGGCUGAAUGGAUUUGAGAAGGCAUGAUAUUUGGGUUGAUAAAGCCCAAAAUCAUGCACUUCCUCUCUCAAGCUGUAAUUCUAUAUGAAUAGGGGCUUUCAGAGGGGUAUAACACUAAAUGAUUGAGUUAUGGGAUAUAAAUAACUUCAUGCCGAGGGCACAUUGAUUAUUUGUUCAUGCGGUGUCCACAGUGUGAUAAGAUACUAUUGACAGUAACACUGGUGAUGACAGUAUCAGUUAAUGUUGAUGUUAUGAUAUGAUUGGUUAAUGAUCACUAUCUGCUUCGUCAUUUGGUCAACUGGAAGUGAACCUAAAGCAAUCAAAUAGCAUAACCUAGAUGGUACUGUAGUCUACAGUUUCCCAACUUAAUUCCAUGUAGAAAUAAGAUGUUGCCUGGUCUGAUAGUCCUGAUUUACAGACCAAUCAAAGAGUGCAUAGUGAGGCAAUCUACUCAAUGAAAUCACAUUUUAACGUCCAGUGGUUAGAAAUGCCAGUGUUAAAUAGAUCAAAACAAAAUGCAACUGGUGAAUUAAUGAACAUCACAGAAUACUCACUGUUUGUAAGACUACAUCAAUAAAGGUAUUUUGAGAAUGUGAUUAUA